rnacentral:tRNA from 1 species
GGGGCUGUGGCUCAGAGGUAGAGUGCUUGCCUACUAUACAUGAGGCACUGGGUUCGUUCCCCAGCACCA